CGGCGUGCCUAACACAUGCAAGUCGAACGGAGUUGAAUUGUAGGAAGUUUUCGGUAUGGAAGUCAGCUGACUUAGUGGCGGACGGGUGGAGUAACGACGUGGGAAACCGUAGCCCUCGUACUGGGGGGGAUAACACUUAGAAAUAGGUGCUAAAACCGCAUAAGCGCACGGGACCGCAUGGUCUUGUGUGAAAAACUCCGGUGGUACAGGAUGGUCCCGCGUCUGAUUAGCCAGUUGGCAGGGUAACGGCCUACCAAAGCGACGAUCAGUAGCCGGCCUGAGAGGGUGGACGGCCACAUUGGGACUGAGACACGGCCCAAACUCCUACGGGAGGCAGCAGUGGGGAAUAUUGCACAAUGGGGGAAACCCUGAUGCAGCGACGCCGCGUGAGUGAAGAAGUAUUUCGGUAUGUAAAGCUCUAUCAGCAGGGAAGAAAAUGACGGUACCUGAGUAAGAAGCCCCGGCUAACUACGUGCC
rnacentral:rRNA from 1 species